rnacentral:rRNA from 1 species
UACUAAAGUUGUUGCGGUUAAAAAGCUCGUAGUUGAAAUUGUGUCCUGCGGCGUCGGUCUACCGAUUGCGGUACGACAGGCGCGUCUGCGGGGCUUCUCGCCGGUGCGUGUUCACCGCCGGCGCGUCGCCGUCGGCUCCUCGCGGGUCGGCGGACGGCGUCGAGGCGGGCCCUCGCGGCUGUUUACUUUGAACAAAUUAGAGUGCUCAAAGCGGGCUAUUAUUUGCCUGAAUAUUGUGCGCAUGGAAUAAUAGAAUAGGACCUGGUUCUGUUUUGUUGGCUUUCUGAUACCAGAGGUAAUGAUUAAUAGGGACAACUGGGGGCAUUCGUAUUGCGACGUUAGAGGUGAAAUUCUUGGAUCGUCGCAAGACGGACUAAAGCGAAAGCAUUUGCCAAAGGUGUUUUCAUUAAUCAAGAACGAAAGUUAGAGGUUCGAAGGCGAUUAGAUACCGCUGUAGUUCUAACCAUAAAUGAUGCCAGCCAGCGAUCCGCCGAAGUUUUUUUAUUUGAUUCGGUGGGCAGCUCCCGGGAAACCAAAGCUUUC